rnacentral:rRNA from 1 species
UGGGGAAUAUUGGACAAUGGGGGCAACCCUGAUCCAGCCAUGCCGCGUGAACGAUGAAGGCCUUCGGGUUGUAAAGUUCUUUUGGUGGGGACGAUGAUGACGGUACCCACAGAAUAAGCACCGGCUAACUUCGUGCCAGCAGCCGCGGUAAUACGAAGGGUGCUAGCGUUGUUCGGAAUUACUGGGCGUAAAGGGAGUGUAGGCGGUUUGAUAAGUUGGAUGUGAAAGCCCAGGGCUCAACCCUGGAACUGCAUUCAAAACUAUCUUACUUGAAUUCGGUAGAGGUUGGUGGAAUUCCCAGUGUAGAGGUGAAAUUCGUAGAUAUUGGGAAGAAUAUCCGUGGCGAAGGCGGCCAACUGGACCGACAUUGACGCUGAGACUCGAAAGCGUGGGGAGCAAACAGGAUUAGAUACCCGUGUAGUCC